UGUGUAAGUUCCCCACAGAGCUAUUUUCUAAAUUGUCUGAGAAAGUAUAGUGGAGCUUACUGAAAAGAAGAAUAAAUGUUUCUCUUACCCUUAUGGUUGGCAAGAAGAAAGAAGCUGAUUGUCAGAAGUUUUCAACAUAUGCUUGGACAGAGAAUCCUUGAAUUUGGUAGAGCUAGGAAGAGCAUUUGUACAUUAUCAUUCAGAGAGCCAAUGGGAUACUCCUGUGUGACUCGAUGCACUUCAUUGGCAGCACAAAAUUACUUUACCUACUACAUAUGCUAGAGAGAGAGCACAAGCAGGG